rnacentral:rRNA from 1 species
UACGUAGGGUGCAAGCGUUAAUCGGAAUUACUGGGCGUAAAGCGUGCGCAGGCGGUUUUGUAAGUCAGAUGUGAAAUCCCCGGGCUUAACCUGGGAACUGCAUUUGUGACUGCACGGCUAGAGUGUGUCAGAGGGGGGUAGAAUUCCACGUGUAGCAGUGAAAUGCGUAGAUAUGUGGAGGAAUACCGAUAGCGAAGGCAGCCCCCUGGGAUAACACUGACGCUCAUGCACGAAAGCGUGGGGAGCAAACAGG